CACUAUGGCCAUGCCACCCUGAAUGUGCUUGAUCUUGUCUGAUCUUGGAAGCUAAGCAGAGUUGGGCCUGGUUAGUACUUGGAUGGGAGACCACCUAGGAAUACCGGGUGCUGUAGGCA
rnacentral:rRNA from 1 species